UCUACGAUGUUUUACGGUAGUGAUUUUGGACGUGUUUUCCACCUGCAAAACGUUGAUCUUGUGACCAAGACAGGCAAGAAAACGCUGGUUGGGAUCAGCUGCAUGGCUUGGCGAAAAUACGAAUCGCGUGUAUGACCGAUUUAAAGAUCGUGACCGGAGGUCAACGCUUCCAAUUCCAAGAUGAAGAUGAUGAACUAUUCAAAAGAAUCUCCGAUGAAUGGGCUACCGGAGGUAGCAGGAGGCCUGUACCCAGCAGGAGGUGCCAGGCAUCACAUUCACUGCAGCGUCGCCGGAGGAGCGAGUUACAUAAAAAAUGGCAAUACAUCAGACCCCGGCGUGCUGCUGCACGCAUCGGCCUGCCUGCACGCGACGCAUUUCCCCGCGCCUCUAGCAGGAGGAAACCGCGAACAUGAUGGCUGCACUCCCCUUCACUGCAGCGUCGCCGGAGAAGUGUUUACAUAAAAAAUUGUACAAAUAUUUUUGUCUUAUAAAAUUAU